CCUACGGGUGGCUGCAGUGGGGGAUAUUGCACAAUGGGGGAAACCCUGAUGCAGCGAUGCCGCGUGAAUGAAGACGGCCUUCGGGUCGGAAAGCUCUAUCAGCAGGGAAGAAAAUGACGGUACCUGACUAAGAAGCCCCGGCUAACUACGUGCCAGCAGCCGCGGUAAUACGUAGGGGGCAAGCGUUAUCCGGAUUGACUGGGUGUAAAGGGAGCGUAGACGGCAGCGCAAGUCAGGAGUGAAAUCCCCUGGCUUAACCAUGGAACUGCUUUGGAAACUGUGCAGCUGGAGUGCAGGAGAGGUAAGCGGAAUUCCUAGUGUAGCGGUGCAAUGCGUAGAUAUUAGGAGGAACACCAGUGGCGAAGGCGGCUUACUGGACUGUAACUGACGUUGAGGCUCGAAAGCGUGGGGAGCAAACAGGAUUAGAUACCCAUGUAGUC
rnacentral:rRNA from 1 species